rnacentral:tRNA from 1 species
CAGAAAAUAGUUUAGUAUUAGAAUUCUGGCUUUGGGUGCCAGAGGUGGGAGUUAAAAUCUCUCUUUUCUGA